rnacentral:rRNA from 1 species
AGCGAACGCUGGCGGCAGGCCUAACACAUGCAAGUCGAACGAACUCUUCGGAGUUAGUGGCGGACGGGGGAGUAACACGUGGGAACGUGCCUUUUGGUUCGGAAUAACUCAGGGAAACUUGUGCUAAUACCGAAUGUGCCCUGCGGGGGAAAGAUUUAUCGCCAUUAGAGCGGCCCGCGUCUGAUUAGCUAGUUGGGGAGGUAACGGCUCACCACGGCGACGAUCAGUAGCUGGUCUGAGAGGAUGGCCCGCCACACUGGGACUGAGACACGGCCCAGACUCCUACGGGAGGCAGCAGUGGGGGAUCUUGCGCAAUCGGCGAAAGCCUGACGCAGCCAUGCCGCGUGAAUGAUGAAGGUCUUAGGAUUGUAAAAUUCUUUCACCGGGGACGAUAAUGACGGUACCCGGAGAAGAAGCCCCGGCUAACUUCGUG